GUCGAGAUUAUGGUAUCACUAUGUUGCUCUGGCUGAUCUCAAAUUCCUGACCUCAAGUGAUCUUUCUGCCACAGCCUCCUAAAGUGCUAGGAUUACAUGCAUGAUACACCAUGCCUAGCAUAGAGUAUUACAUUAUUUUCAAAGUCUUAUUCUAAGAGCCAUUUAUUGACUUUGGCCUAAAUAACUCAAUAUAAUAUCUCUGAAACUUUUUUUGACAAAUUUUGGGGCAUGAUGAUGAGAGAAGGGGGUUUGAAACUUUCUAAUAAGAAUUAACUUAGACCCAUUUAAGAAGGAAAAAACACAAAUUAUCAGAAAAAUAAAAGUAAGAUCAAGUGCAAAAGUUCUGUGGCAAAGAUGAUGAGAGUAAAGAAUAUACGUUUGUGACUCAUGGUGGCUUUUACUUUGUUCUUGAAUUUCUGAGUACGAGUUAACAUUUAAAGAAUCUACAUUAUAGAUAACAUUUUAUUGCAAGUAAAUGUAUUUCAGAAUUUGUUAUUGGUUUUGUAUGAGAUUAUUCUCAGCCUAUUUCAUUAUCAAGCUAUAUUAUUUUAUUAAUAUUGUUUGAUGAUCACAGCAAAGCUGGAAGCUGUAUCUUCAAAAUAUGUCUAUUUGACUAAGAAGAAGUUAUUCAACAGGAGUUAUUAUCUCUGAAAAAAGUAGAACCGGAAUAUAAAAAACUUGAGGAGGAUAAAAAGAUGUUGGAAGAAGUAAUAUUAAAUCUUAAAAAACAUGGAAACUGCACAUUGGUGAAGACACAUUGGUGAAGUACAAAAAUAUAAAUUGGAUGUAGAAGAAAGGGCAAUGCAGGCAAUAGAAAAAUUAGUAGAAAUCCCUUUACAGGUUAGUUUGUAAAAUCAGGUAAGUUUAUUUAUAAUGUGCUUUCAUUUAUUUCACUGCAAAUUAUAUUUUGGAUAUAUAUAUUGUGUUUCCUCUGCCUCUCUUAUAGCAAUUUGCCUUGUAGAGUUCUAGCAAAAAGGUGGCAUCUGUUUUUACUUUCAAAUAUUUAAAUUUCCAUCAUUAUAACAAAAUCGAUUUUUCAGAGUAAUGAUUCUUACUGUGGAGUCAUUUGAUUAUUAAGACCCAUUGGCAUAAGAUUACAUCCUCUGACUAUAAAAAUCAUGGAAGAAAACCUAGGAAAUAUUCGUCUGGACAUUGCACUUGGCAGUGAAUUUAUGGGCUCUUUGGAAUCCUGCAGAUAUUAUCAUGAUAAUUAAAC
rnacentral:lncRNA from 1 species